rnacentral:misc_RNA from 1 species
UUGUACACACCGCCCGUCACACCAUGGAAGUUGGUCACGCCCGAAGUCGUUACCCCAACCGAGAGGAGGGGGAUGCCUAAGGUAGGACUGAUGACUGGGGUGAAGUCGUAACAAGGUAGCCGUACCGGAAGGUGUGGCUGGAUCACCUCCUUUUAGGGAGACCUAAUCCAUUUAGAAAUCGAAAGCAGUGAAAAUUGCCCAUAGAAACUAAAUUGGUCUAACCUAGGUCGGUCGCAGACUUGAAGUAAAGCUUUCAAACUAUGAUUUGGUUCGAUAAGGGCUAUUAGCUCAGGUGGUUAGAGCGCACCCCUGAUAAGGGUGAGGUCCCUGGUUCGAGUCCAGGAUGGCCCACCUGAAGGAAGUCAAAAAUCAAAAGUCAAAAGUCAAAAUUAAAUAUUUUUGAAGCAUGACUAGAAAUUUUGAGUUCUUUUUGGGGGUUUAGCUCAGUUGGUAGAGCGCCUGCUUUGCAAGCAGGAUGUCAGCGGUUCGAGUCCGCUAACCUCCACAUUGGAAAAAAGACAGCAACUGAAACUGUGAGAAUAGUUUUUGACUGCUGGGUGAGAUUCCAGCCAGAACCUUGAAAACUGCAUAAGAGAACGAGAAAAAGCAGGCAGACACAGACAUGAAGAUGGAUGUGAAAGCCAAGAAAAAUUGUGGUCAAGCUAAUAAGGGCUAAUGGUGGAUACCUAGGCACACAGAG